rnacentral:rRNA from 1 species
CGGACGGGUGAGUAACGCGUGGGUAACCUGCCUCAUACAGGGGGAUAACAGUUAGAAAUGACUGCUAAUACCGCAUAAGCGCACGGUACCGCAUGGUACGGUGUGAAAAACUCCGGUGGUAUGAGAUGGACCCGCGUCUGAUUAGCUGGUUGGUGAGGUAACGGCCCACCAAGGCGACGAUCAGUAGCCGACCUGAGAGGGUGACCGGCCACAUUGGGACUGAGACACGGCCCAG